CGUACACAAAAAUGCACAUGCUGUGAGCUCGAUGAGUAGGGCGGGACACGUGGUAUCCUGUCUGAAUAUGGGGGGACCAUCCUCCAAGGCUAAAUACUCCUGACUGACCGAUAGUGAACCAGUACCGUGAGGGAAAGGCGAAAAGAACCCCGGCGAGGGGAGUGAAAAAGAACCUGAAACCGUGUACGUACAAGCAGUGGGAGCACGCUUAGGCGUGUGACUGCGUACCUUUUGUAUAAUGGGUCAGCGACUUAUAUUCUGUAGCAAGGUUAACCGAAUAGGGGAGCCGAAGGGAAACCGAGUCUUAACUGGGCGUUAAGUUGCAGGGUAUAGACCCGAAACCCGGUGAUCUAGCCAUGGGCAGGUUGAAGGUUGGGUAACACUAACUGGAGGACCGAACCGACUAAUGUUGAAAAAUUAGCGGAUGACUUGUGGCUGGGGGUGAAAGGCCAAUCAAACCGGGAGAUAGCUGGUUCUCCCCGAAAGCUAUUUAGGUAGCGCCUCGUGAACUCAUCUCCGGGGGUAGAGCACUGUUUCGGCAAGGGGGUCAUCCCGACUUACCAACCCGAUGCAAACUGCGAAUACCGGAGAAUGUUAUCACGGGAGACACACGGCGGGUGCUAACGUCCGUCGUGAAGAGGGAAACAACCCAGACCGCCAGCUAAGGUCCCAAAGUCAUGGUUAAGUGGGAAACGAUGUGGGAAGGCCCAGACAGCCAGGAUGUUGGCUUAGAAGCAGCCAUCAUUUAAAGAAAGCGUAAUAGCUCACUGGUCGAGUCGGCCUGCGCGGAAGAUGUAACGGGGCUAAACCAUGCACCGAAGCUGCGGCAGCGACGCUUAUGCGUUGUUGGGUAGGGGAGCGUUCUGUAAGCCUGUGAAGGUGUGCUGUGAGGCAUGCUGGAGGUAUCAGAAGUGCGAAUGCUGACAUAAGUAACGAUAAAGCGGGUGAAAAGCCCGCUCGCCGGAAGACCAAGGGUUCCUGUCCAACGUUAAUCGGGGCAGGGUGAGUCGACCCCUAAGGCGAGGCCGAAAGGCGUAGUCGAUGGGAAACAGGUUAAUAUUCCUGUACUUGGUGUUACUGCGAAGGGGGGACGGAGAAGGCUAUGUUGGCCGGGCGACGGUUGUCCCGGUUUAAGCGUGUAGGCUGGUUUUCCAGGCAAAUCCGGAAAAUCAAGGCUGAGGCGUGAUGACGAGGCACUACGGUGCUGAAGCAACAAAUGCCCUGCUUCCAGGAAAAGCCUCUAAGCAUCAGGUAACAUCAAAUCGUACCCCAAACCGACACAGGUGGUCAGGUAGAGAAUACCAAGGCGCUUGAGAGAACUCGGGUGAAGGAACUAGGCAAAAUGGUGCCGUAACUUCGGGAGAAGGCACGCUGAUAUGUAGGUGAAGCGACUUGCUCGUGGAGCUGAAAUCAGUCGAAGAUACCAGCUGGCUGCAACUGUUUAUUAAAAACACAGCACUGUGCAAACACGAAAGUGGACGUAUACGGUGUGACGCCUGCCCGGUGCCGGAAGGUUAAUUGAUGGGGUUAGCGGUAACGCGAAG
rnacentral:rRNA from 1 species